ACGCAGCCCCGGCUGUUUUUGAAGCGGGGCCCGGGCCCCACCGGGCUGCGGCGUCCGACUCGAAUGAAGAAACUGAGGCACAAAAAUUAAAUAUAACUUGCCCAAGUUCUCACAGCUAGAAAAUGGCAAAACUGGGAUGCCAGCAUCUUUUAGUAUUUUUUGAAAUACUUUAUGCUCACUGGGGAAAUACUUCCCCAGCUCACUGAUCUAAUGACAGACAGGACACCUGCUGUUUGAGCUGGGCACUGUUGGGGCAUUUGGAGUAUAUCUGUAAACAAAACAAAGAUCCCUGCGUUUUGGUUAUAUACUGAUUUGGUUCGAAAACAUGGCCAAAAGAAAUGCCGAGAAGGAACUGACAGAUAGGAAUUGGGAUCAAGAAGAUGAAGCUGAAGAGGGUAAAAGAAGGGCUAUAAACUAAAGCCGAAGAUAUUCAGCAGCUUUCUGACGUGGACAUCAGAAGUGUGGACAUGAGUGUGCUUUGAGCGCACUGUGGAAGAGCAGUGGUUGUCCAGCAAGGUCCUAGGUGCCUCCGUGGCCUUUCGUACAGUGG
rnacentral:lncRNA from 10 species